CUGAACGAUGAAUGCAAC
rnacentral:miRNA from 1 species